AUCUUUUGCUUUUUGCACUGUUGUUCCCAUGUCUGUAUUUUGAGCUAGUGCCAGGACUGAGAGGCUGCGCUGUAGGGAGUCUGACUGGCGUUGGGGUGUAAUGAGUGAUACCAUUUAGGGGUGGGAAAGGGAAGGCCUGAGCUGUGUCCUAGUUUUUAGAUCCCCCUGAGCCCAGCUGACCAAAGCCAGGAGCGGAUGGCCAAGGUGAAACUCCUUUUGCCAGCAGUGUGGGCUCAGUUCUGUUUCUGGGGAGACCAUGCAGACGUCUGCUGGAGGCAGGCAGAGAGUCUACAGUCUAGCUCCUGUUUGGGUCAGGGGCCAGCCAGCCUCUAAUUGGACUUUUUUUGUCUCCACUCAUGCUGACUAUAACAUCGUGCCAGGAAAUUAUCUGUGGGACCCAUGUCCCCUAAACCAAAUCCAUUUUUCUGAAAAAUCUCCACUAUUGAGGAGAAGCUGCUCAGUUGAGACCCUGAGUUCUGGUGACUUGAAAGGUGGUUAUCUUCAAGUGGUAGUUAAACUCGGUCUAACCAGUUGGUGUUAGACUCCCAGGAGGACCACAGGGCCUGCAGAGUCCCCUGUUAGUUGGAGAGUGUGAUCUUGUUUUCUUGUUCCCACUGUUUGCCUGAGAGAUACUGGCCUGAAAUUGGGGGGAUCACAUCAGAGGUCACUUAGACUUUAAAGAGGUGGGUGAAGUUCGAGUUAAGUUUACCUCCCCCUUUCUGUGCCUGGGAACUGUUUAAUCCAGGUUUAGAUUUGUGAUUUGACUUCUUUAUCUUUGUGGAGAAGCUUCUGUUUUAAGGAAUUUCUCUUCUUUCUUAUCCUGCCUCUACCCUCUCCUAGGAAGGCCUGGCCAUGGCUUCUAGAAUCUCAGUUGAAUUUUAGAAAACAGCAGGAGUAUUUUCCCUUUCCUAGCACUUAAUUUUCCUUUCCCUAGAAAUCAGCUCACCUUGGGAAAUCCAGGGAAAGAAUCAGCAGGUUCUCUGCCCUCCCUGGGGAUUGGGGAAGGACCCACCCUGGUCAGCACAGUGCCUUUUCCUCUCCUGCUCUGAGCCAGGGUGGGCAUUCUCUCUAGAUUCAGGUCUGGGCAGGAGUCUUACAGUCCCUGCCAUAGGGCUGCUUCCCCAUCUCUUCCUCACCCUUCCCUUUGCUAAAUGGCUCUUUCCUAAUUCAAGUGUCUUCUUGCCUCGAGGAGCCUUAAUGGCAUCAAGUGGCAACAUGUAAUAUUGUCCUCCAUGCCUCUCCAAAAAAACCUAGGAGAGCAGGUGAGCUUUCCAAAGUGACAGACUAAUAGAUACUCCUGUUUAAAGACAAAGGGGUGAGGGGAUAUGCUUUGGGCCUCCUUCUACUCUGGCCCCCGGGAAGGAGCCUGGGGUAAGGCUAAGUGGUAGUGCAGAAACAGAACCAGAAACAUCCAGGAUCUGUUCAAAAGUCUUAGAAGAAAUCUGCUUCUCAUCUAUGGAAAGAUAUAAUUAGGGAUCAAAGAGCUCUAAGAAAAUUGCAAAGAAGCCUUAAUGUUAAAGCUUCAGAGAGAUCAGAGUAAUUUUUCCCUUUCAGUCCUAGCUAGGACUCUUUCUGUAUUUAGACUUCUCCUGGGGCAGGGGGGCUAGAUUUCCUCAUUUUGUUACAAGACUAGAUUGGCACCAAUGGCUCAGCUGCCCAGCGAGGACAGAUUUCUUCUUUGUACAUGGGUGGCCUGCUGCUGAUCUAGUUUGUCCUCCCCCAGCUGCCUUUUGGCUAGCCAGCUUUAGGUUGCCAAAUCACUUUGAUAAGAGCAGAUGAUUUGGAGACUGGCUGGGUUGGCAGGAAAAGAGCAGGAUGGAUCUCUUGGGACGGGUUCCCCCCUCCAGGAGUAUAAGAACAAGGAGCCAGGGUUGUGCUGGCAGCCAGGGAAACAGUAAUGCCUGUUGGAAUUGGCAGAGAGGGCCUUGGCAUCUCUCAUAUCCAGGCAGUCUUGUGAGAUGGGGGCACGUAGCACCAGGAAAAGCAGAACUCCAUUCUCACCUCUAUUUUGAGCUUCAGUGCUUUAUUUCAGUAUGAGGAAAAACAACAACAAACUGAAGUGCGCUUUCCGUCCUUUCAAAGGAUAACUGUCGGGAAAGGAGAGCUGAGUUGCCAGGUGGGAGGGGAGAAUUGGCAGGGAGAGAUGUUACAGCAAAACCAAGAAUGAGACAUUCUUGACUCCUCUCUUCCCUGGUAUGUCAUGAUCCAGGGAAUGAAAAGAAAUUUGACCCUGGAUUAGUUCCCUCCUUGGAUUUUCCAUCCACCAAGUUCUCCCACGCUAGGAGCAGCUGGCCAUUCUGAGCUCUGGGCAGUCUCUUCAACCACUGUUGGCCUAACCUGGCUUGUCAGGAAAUCAACCUCGCCCCUCCAGAUUGGGCCCGGUUGCUCUUUUCUGUACCAAGUACUGGAGGAUAGUGUCAAGUUCUUAGUAGCCCUUGUAGCUCCCACUCUAGAUUCUCAUCCUCUCCCUGCCGAGGCCAAACCAACUCUGUCUGUAGCCACAAUGUGCAUUUACAGUGGCACAGUGAGAUGUGGUUGAGGGGCUUUGAACCUGGCUGGCCCGGGGAAAGCAGUAGGGGUAGAUAGAGCUGUCUUUCCUUCUGGGCUAUCUCCAUCUGUCCCUACCCCUUCCAUGCCCCACCCUACUCCCACCAAAAAGUUUAAAAAUCAGGAUGUUUUUCACUGUCCAUUGCUUUGUGUUUUAAUAAACAAUUUGCAGUGA
ensembl:lncRNA